rnacentral:tRNA from 1 species
GCCGGGUUAGCUCAGCUGGUAGAGCGCUUCUCUUGUAAAGAAGAUGUCCGGGGUUCAAAUCCCCGACCCGGCU